rnacentral:rRNA from 1 species
GAUGAACGCUGGCGGCGUGCCUAAUACAUGCAAGUCGAGCGAACGGACGAGAAGCUUGCUUCUCUGAUGUUAGCGGCGGACGGGUGAGUAACACGUGGAUAACCUACCUAUAAGACUGGGAUAACUUCGGGAAACCGGAGCUAAUACCGGAUAAUAUUUUGAACCGCAUGGUUCAAAAGUGAAAGACGGUCUUGCUGUCACUUAUAGAUGGAUCCGCGCUGCAUUAGCUAGUUGGUAAGGUAACGGCUUACCAAGGCAACGAUGCAUAGCCGACCUGAGAGGGUGAUCGGCCACACUGGAACUGAGACACGGUCCAGACUCCUACGGGAGGCAGCAGUAGGGAAUCUUCCGCAAUGGGCGAAAGCCUGACGGAGCAACGCCGCGUGAGUGAUGAAGGUCUUCGGAUCGUAAAACUCUGUUAUCAGGGAAGAACAUAUGUGUAAGUAACUGUGCACAUCUUGACGGUACCUAAUCAGAAAGCCACGGCUAACUACGUGCCAGCAGCCGCGGUAAUACGUAGGUGGCAAGCGUUAUCCGGAAUUAUUGGGCGUAAAGCGCGCGUAGGCGGUUUUUUAAGUCUGAUGUGAAAGCCCACGGCUCAACCGUGGAGGGUCAUUGGAAACUGGAAAACUUGAGUGCAGAAGAGGAAAGUGGAAUUCCAUGUGUAGCGGUGAAAUGCGCAGAGAUAUGGAGGAACACCAGUGGCGAAGGCGACUUUCUGGUCUGUAACUGACGCUGAUGUGCGAAAGCGUGGGGAUCAAACAGGAUUAGAUACCCUGGUAGUCCACGCCGUAAACGAUGAGUGCUAAGUGUUAGGGGGUUUCCGCCCCUUAGUGCUGCAGCUAACGCAUUAAGCACUCCGCCUGGGGAGUACGACCGCAAGGUUGAAACUCAAAGGAAUUGACGGGGACCCGCACAAGCGGUGGAGCAUGUGGUUUAAUUCGAAGCAACGCGAAGAACCUUACCAAAUCUUGACAUCCUUUGACAACUCUAGAGAUAGAGCUUUCCCCUUCGGGGGACAAAGUGGCAGGUGGUGCAUGGUUGUCGUCAGCUCGUGUCGUGAGAUGUUGGGUUAAGUCCCGCAACGAGCGCAACCCUUAAGCUUAGUUGCCAUCAUUAAGUUGGGCACUCUAAGUUGACUGCCGGUGACAAACCGGAGGAAGGUGGGGAUGACGUCAAAUCAUCAUGCCCCUUAUGAUUUGGGCUACACACGUGCUACAAUGGACAAUACAAAGGGCAGCGAAACCGCGAGGUCAAGCAAAUCCCAUAAAGUUGUUCUCAGUUCGGAUUGUAGUCUGCAACUCGACUACAUGAAGCUGGAAUCGCUAGUAAUCGUAGAUCAGCAUGCUACGGUGAAUACGUUCCCGGGUCU